rnacentral:lncRNA from 1 species
UUUUUUGUUGUUGUUGUUUUAAAUGUCUCACUCUUUGUCAUUUCGGAUCCUUACUGUACGAUAUGGGUUUUGCUCGUCAUUGUUGAAGGUCUUGAAGGCCGCACGGGGGUUUACGAUUUCAUACAUCAUGUCAAUUGGUCUCAAAGAAGAUGUUUGGUAAUUGCUACAUUGGUAAUCAUACCCUAUCUUCAUAUGUUUAUAUUGUUG